rnacentral:rRNA from 1 species
GACGAACGCUGGCGGCGUGCCUAAUACAUGCAAGUAGGACGCAGUUGCGAACGGGUGAGUAACGCGCAGGUAACUACCUAUUAGAGGGGGAUAACUAUUGGAAACGAUAGCUAAUACCGCAUACUAGUAGAUGGACCUGCGUUGUAUUAGCUAGUAGGUAGGGUAAUGGCCUACCUAGGCAACGAUACAUAGCCGGACGGGGGAGGUGGUCGGCCAACACGGGACUUGGGACAGGCCCAGGAGCCUUCGGGGGGCAGCAGGAAGGGAAUUUCGGGCAAUGGGGGAAACCUGACCGAGCAACGGCGCGUGGGUGGAAAAGGGUUUCGGGUUGUAAAAAUCUGUUGUUAAGGGAGCGGUACUUAACCAGAAAGGGACGGCUAACUACGUGCCAGCAGCCGCGGUAAUUC